UUGGUUGCGAUCUGGUUACCAUGGAUCACCCGGGCACAGUUAACAGUAACCACCUAUAGUUUGUGGAAGAAACCGUUGAAAGAUAGGUGCUGUUAUCUCUGGGACAAGCAGAGGGAACAAAUAUCUGGCACCAGCUGUGGGGAAUUCAGAAGCAGACUUGGACUUCACUUUGACGGAAGGCUCGUUGGACUAACCCCCGACGACUGGGCCAGCAGCACAGUUCCCCAGGCCUCUGCAGCCCUGUGUCCAGUUCACCUCUGCGUUGCUUCGAGGACCAUUGGAGAACAAGGUCUCGAAAUGGCAGGAGGUCUGGAAUACCUCUCUAGAGUCCGGGGCAAGGUGUGCCUCUCCUCUCUCGGCUCUGGACUGCUGGGGCAUUAUUUCAGAGGGAGCUUCUUACAAUCAGGGAGCACGUCUUGAGCUUCUACUGUACUUUCCCAACCACGAAGAAGAGUGCGUCACACUGGACGGGAGGUGCCUCCACGUCCACCUGAGAAAGUACCACAGCGACUUGGGGCUCGGGAUGACGUUGAAGGGAGUGGGCAGGGUCCCUCCUUCCUCAAAGUAACUCAUCCACAGCUUGGUUCGGGCAAACUUCCAUUCGAUGUCCGCGUGAUCCUAGACCCAAGAAGACGACGUCAGCUGACCAACCGCCCGCCGAACCAGGUGGAUCCAGCAGCUAACCUGUUCGAAAUUCAUCCUCUGCCAACAACACAGUCCUUUAAUCCAGCAGAAAGACUCUGUCUCCUCUGGCUCGGUACAUCACUUCUGAGCCUUCGCAAGGGGUUAGCACAGCCUCCUCAGGCCCCCAAGGCAGCAGAUGAACCCUGUACGGAAACCAGAUGACUCCCUCUUUCAGAGCAAUGACUGGAAACCCACAUCAGGAGUGAUGACUCGCCCCUCCACCCAGACGUCCUCCUUUCCAAGCAACUAAGGAGGCUGAGUCGCCCGCACACUGGAAGCCGUCGCAGGCCAGGAAGUGACUUCAUUAAGGCAUCCGGACCUCGGGUGAGAGGGCCAGUGGAAACUACCGAGUCACAGUGCCGGUGCCUAUUCUGAGCAAAACAGCUCUUUAAGGCUACACUUACCAACCUCCUAAUACAGUGCUCUGCAUACAGUAAGCGCGCAAUACAACUGACUGACUCCACUUCCCUUUGGUGAUAUCUGGCUCAACGAGCAAUCGCCGGGUGACGCUAAACAGCCAGUGAGAGCUUCAGGAAUACAUCUUACUCCGUGUCCCUUGAGACCGAAAUGGGGGGGGGGGGGGAGCCAAGAAAUAUCUGACGUUGAAAGUGACACCCCAGAUACACAAAUCACAAGUCCUAUUAAAAGAAAGGUGAGCGGC